GACGUAGGGCGCGAGCGUUGUCCGGAUUUAUUGGGCGUAAAGAGCUCGUAGGCGGCUUGUCGCGUCGACUGUGAAAACUCGGGGCUUAACUCCGGGCCUGCAGUGGGUACGGGCAGACUAGAGUGCGGUAGGGGAGACUGGAAUUCCUGGUGUAGCGGUGAAAUGCGCAGAUAUCAGGAGGAACACCGGUGGCGAAGGCGGGUCUCUGGGCCGUAACUGACGCUGAGGAGCGAAAGCGUGGGGAGCGAACAGG
rnacentral:rRNA from 1 species